CAAGCAGCCGUACAUGCUGUUCGCCGUCAGCUUCAACGCCUUCUGGCGGAUGUCAUACUGAGACAGACAGACAGACAGACAAACCAGAUUUCAACUUGGAGAAGCAUUCGGUGAUCCGUUUGACUUUGGGCGUACCUGCAGGCCUCCCGCUGCACGGUGGUGAAGCAGAUGUUAAACUCUUGGAUGAUGGACGGGUACAGGCUGUUGAAGUCGAGCAGAAGCACAAACUUGUCGUAGAAACCUGGAGACCAAAGAUCCAGCACCAGCCCGCCAGCAUAGGCGGCCUUCUUCUUUUGCUUCCCUUUCCCAGUAUCAACAUCUUCUUCUCCUUCAUACUGGAACAUAUCGAAAAUAGUCUUUUAUGCUGAUAAGUAAAAAAAAUAAAUAAAAGAUGCCGUACCGUCUGC